rfam:Heligmosomoides polygyrus genome assembly, scaffold: HPBE_scaffold0004905
CAACCUGAGCUCAGGCGUGACUACCCGCCGAACUUAAGCAUAUCAUUUAGCGGAGGAAAAGAAACUAACAAGGAUUCCCUUAGUAACGGCGAGUGAACGGGGAGAAGCCCAGCGCUGAAUCUUUCGGUGUUACACCGUUAAGAAAUGUAGCGUAUAGGUGUGAUUUUCAGUUUGUGCUGCAUGUCCAAAGUCCCUUUGAUAGGGGCCACAUUCCUGAGAGGGUGCGAGACCUGUGCGGACAGUGGAGCAAGCUGUACGAUCAUACCUUGGAGUCGGGUUGCUUGAAAGUGCAGCCUAAAGUGGGUGAUAAACUUCAUCUAAGGCUAAAUAUAGACGCGAAUUCGAUAGCAAACAAGUACUGUGAAGGAAAGUUGCAAAGAACUUUGAAGAGAGAGUUCAAGAGAACGUGAAAUCGCUGGAGUGGAACCGGAGAGAGUUGACGUAGCCGGGUAACUAAGUCUACUAAUGUCGCUUAAUUGUGACUGCGGGAGAUGUAUGUUGCCUAUGGCUGCGCUGACAGCGCUGGCCGUGCGUUCCGAACCGUUUAGCGUUGCCCACCGUUUCGGCGGUGGUGUCUUGCUGGCGGAUAGGUUUGUCGUGGCUAGCGUUUUUGCCCUACUUCAUUGUAGGGUGUCAGUGUGAAAGUCGACCACCUCUCCGACCCGUCUUGAAACACGGACCGAGGAGUGUAACUUGUACGCGAGUCAAAGGGUGGAAAACCCCAAGGCGUAAUGAAAGUAAAGGUCGGUUAACCGGCUGACAUGGGAUCCGUUUCGUUUACGAAGCGGCGCACCAUGGCCCUGUCUUGUCUGCUUGCAGAUGGGCAGCGGUAGAGCGUACAGGUUGCGACCCGAAAGAUGGUGAACUAUGCCUGAGCAGGACGAAGUCAGAGGAAACUCUGGUGGAAGUCCGUAUCGGUUCUGACGUGCAAAUCGAUCGAUAGACUUGGGUAUAGGGGCGAAAGACUAAUCGAACCAUCUAGUAGCUGGUUCCCUCCGAAGUUUCCCCCAGGAUAGCUGGAGUUCAUAGCGGUUAUAUCCGGUAAAGCGAAUGAUUAGAGGACUUGGGGUCGAAACGAUCUCAACCUAUUCUCAAACUUUCAAUGGGUAUGUUGUCUCGGUUUCUUCAUUGAACUGUUGACACGAACGCGAGCUCCAAGUGGGCCAUUUUUGGUAAGCAGAACUGGCGCUGUGGGAUGAACCAAACGUUGGGUUAAGGUGCCUAACUUUUCGCUCAUGAGACCCCAUAAAAGGCGUUGGUUGAUAUAGACAGCAGGACGGUGGCCAUGGAAGUCGGUACCCGCUAAGGAGUGUGUAACAACUCACCUGCCGAAUCAACUAGCCCUGAAAAUGGAUGGCGCUUGAGCGAGAGACCUAUACCCAACCGUUGCUGGCUUGUGCGUUGUCUAGCGCCUGGCCGCAACGAGUAGGAGGGUCGUGGCGGUUGCGUCGAAGGCUUUGGGCGUAGGCCCAGCUGGAGCUUCCGUCAAUGAAGGAUCCACAUGUGGUUCAACUUCCACGGU